CUGUUUCACCCGAUGAGAUAUCAAUAGAGGAUGAACUGUCUAAGAUGGAUAACAGGGAUGAUGGGACUUCUAACAUUACACUCAGAUCAAGUUUCCGUGUCCUGAGCCAGUCCAUACACCAUGUCACUCUGGAAUGUAGGGUAGUAGAUGAGAAUGAUGGUUCACAACAUGAUGUCACUACAGUAGAGGUUCUCUUUGAUAAAAGUGAGGCUCAUGAAUCUCUUGCUUUUAUAUUUUGGUAUGACAUAGUAGGGCUGAUUUUGAAUGAUUUUUCUAGAUGUUUACUGGUAUUAGCUAUCCUUCCAUUUUUAAUUUCUAAAGGGCAAACUUACUAGUCUGAAAACUAAGGUAUAGGCAUGAAUGGAGAACAAAAACAAAUGUCACAUACACAUGUUCCUUCAGACAGUGGAACUGCAGUGUCUAUGUUUUUAACUGUCAUCAAAUUAUUAUUAUGAAAGGGCAGGACACAUGAAGAAAAACAUUUGCAUAAUCACUCAGGAACUCUACCAAAUAAUGUUGAACCAUUCGCAAAUACUGAGGGCAACUUGACACAACUCUGUUCUUGGAUGUUGGAUGCUCAUCUCAUAUUGUAUACAUGAAAAUGAGUAACCUGUUGUGUUUGGUGGAGAGAAAGUGAUAUUUAAUGUUAUAAAUGGUGAUGGCUGUAGUUUGAAGUUUCCUUACUGUAAAUAAAACCAAGUGAUUCUUUGGGAGUAUUCAGCUUAUAAAACUGUGAGGCUACUAUUCUAGAAGAGCUAGAGUAGAAUAAAUAAAGUCAUCUUCCUGAACUGCUCUGAUGAUAGUGCUCUGCCCAACACUUAUUAAAUUCAUGUCCUAGUUGAAAACAAGUAUAUUUUAAGGCAAUAUCACAUACAGUAGUAGAUUGAAAAUCAACAGUUUGAAUGAUUUUGUUGUUUUGAUCUCCUGUUCAGACUUCCCAGUGGUAAAUGGAUUGGUCCAUCAGCAACAUGUGGUCCUGAAUGUGAAAAGAGAAGACAAACUGACUUGCACCAUGAAUAGAGUCUCACCAACUAUGGUUUUAGAAUGGGUCUUCACUCCACCUGUUCCACCCAAUGAGAUAUCAAUGGACAAUGAACUGUCUAAGACGGAUAACAGGGACGGGACUUCUAACAUUACACUCAGCUCAAGUUUCCGUGUCCUGAGUCAGUCCAUACACUAUGUCACUCUGGAAUGUAGGGUAGUAGAUGAGAAUGAUGGUUCACAACAUGAUGUCACUACAGUAGAGCUUCUCUUUGAUAACAGUAAGGCUCAUUAAUUUUUAUGCUUUAAUAUUUUUGUUUGACUUAGUAGGGCUGAUUUUGAAGGAAUUUUCCAGAUGUUCCUGGUAUUACCUAUCCUUCCAUUUAAAAUUUCUAAGGACAAACUUACUAGUCUGAAAACUAAGGUCUGGUCAUGAACGGAGAACAAAACACAAAGUCACAUACACAUGUUCCUUCAGACAGUGGAUCUGCAGUGUCCAUGUUUAUAACAGUCAUUAAAUUAUCAUUACAAAAGGGUUGUGGAUUGUGUACAGUAACAAAGACAGAACACAUUAAGGAAACAUUUGCAUAAUCGCUCAAGAAUUCUGUUCAGGAAGAUGAUCAUGUAGUUCUACUCUAGCUCUUCUUGGAAAGUAGCCUCACAUUGUUACAAGCUGAAUACUCCCGAAGAAUCACUUGGUUUAUUUACAGUAAGGACACUGCAAACUACAGCAAUCACCAGUUAUAAAAUUAAAUAUCACUUUCUCUCCACCAAAGACAAUAGGUUACUCAUGUUGAUGUUAAAUAUGGGGUGAGUAAUCCAAUUCCAAGAACAGAGUUGUGUCAAGUUGCCCUCAGUAUUUGAGAAAUGGUUCAACUUUAUUUGGUAGAGUUCCUAAGCGAUUAUGCAAAUGUUUUUCUUCAUUUGUGCUGUCUUUGUUACUAUACACAAUCCACUGCCCUUUUGUAAUAAUAAUUUGAUGACAUUUAAAAACAUGGAGACUGCAGUUCCACUAUCUGAAGGAACAUGUGUAUUCAGCUUAUAUUGUGAGGCUACUAUCCAAGAAGAGCUAGAAUAGAAGAACUGCUGUAUGAUCAUCUUCCUGAACAGCUUUGAUGAUAGUUUCCCGUCCUACAUUAAUUAAUUUUAUGACCUAGUUGAAAACAAGUAUAGUUUUAGGCAAUUUCACAUACAGUAGUAGUUUGAAAAUCAAAACAUUGAAUGAUUUUGUUUUGAUCCACUGUUCAGACUUCCCUGUGGUGAAUGGAUUGGUCCAUCAGCAACAUGUGGUCCUGAAGGUGAACAGAGAAGACAAACUGACUUGCACCAUGAAUAGAGUCUCACAAACUAUGGUUUUAGAAUGGGUCUUCACUCCAC
rnacentral:circRNA from 1 species